CCUACGGGAGGCAGCAGUGAGGAAUAUUGGUCAAUGGGCGAGAGCCUGAACCAGCCAAGUCGCGUGAAGGAUGACUGUCUUAUGGAUUGUAAACUUCUUUUAUACGGGAAUAACAAGAGUCACGAGUGACUCCCUGCAUGUACCGUAUGAAUAAGCAUCGGCUAACUCCGUGCCAGCAGCCGCGGUAAUACGGAGGAUGCGAGCGUUAUCCGGAUUUAUUGGGUUUAAAGGGUGCGUAGGCGGCCUGUUAAGUCAGCGGUGAAAUCUAGGAGCUUAACUCCUAAAUUGCCAUUGAUACUGGCGGGCUUGAGUGUAGAUGAGGUAGGCGGAAUGCGUGGUGUAGCGGUGGAAUGCAUAGAUAUCACGCAGAACUCCGAUUGCGAAGGCAGCUUACUAAGGUACAACUGACGCUGAAGCACGAAAGCGUGGGUAUCAAACAGGAUUAGAUACCCCAGUAGUC
rnacentral:rRNA from 1 species